rnacentral:rRNA from 1 species
AUAAAGUUUUAUUUUGGCUUGUAAAUUUAUUAUUAGUUUAAUUUAUAUGUAAAUUUUUGUGUGAAUUUUUAUUUAUUUUAAUAGUAAAUAAAUUAAUUUUAUUCGCAGUAAUUAAUAUUAUUAAUUAAGGAAACUUAGAAAUAGUAAUACUAAAGAGUAUUGACAAAAUUCGUGCCAGCA